GUAGUUACGUACCCCGAGGACCGGAAUAGCCACGGGAAACUGUGGGUAAUGCCGGAUAAUAUCUUCGGAUCAAAGGUGUGAUUCCGCCUUGGGAGCGGACUGCGUUGUACUAGCUAGUUGGUAGGGUAAUGGCCUACCAAGGCAAUGAUGCAUAGCGGGUGUGAGAGCAUGACCCGUCUCACUGGGACUGAGACACUGCCCAGACACCUACGGGUGGCUGCAGUCGAGAAUCUUCGGCAAUGGACGCAAGUCUGACCGAGCGACGCCGCGUGUGGGAUGAAGGCCUUCGGGUUGUAAACCACUGUCGUAGAGGAGGAAAUUGGCUGGGGUUCUCCCCAGUCAUUGACCUAUUCUAGGAGGAAGGACGGGCUAAGUUCGUGCCAGCAGCCGCGGUAAUACGAACCGUCCAAACGUUAUUCGGAAUUACUGGGCUUAAAGGGUACGUAGGCGGCGCUGUUAGUCGGGUGUGAAAGCCCACGGCUCAACCGUGGAAUUGCGCCCGAUACUGCAGUGCUU
rnacentral:rRNA from 1 species